CGCGAUCCAAAAGCGGGGAACACAUAGGUUUGUCGCGUCAAAGGGAUCUGUUGCCGAGUGAUCUCCUUCUCAAUAAUACCUCCAUGGUAUAACAUAGGCACGAUGUCAUGGCUCCUGAUUUUACGUAUACAGGCGAGCUGACAAAAUACAUCAUGGAGAUAAUCAAUUUGAACAUAAAGGAAAGAGCAGCUGGAUGGUGUUCAUGGAGAGCAGCAGAGAAAUGAUACUAAGACAGACAUUAAGCUUCUUUAAUUGUUAAGACGCAGGAUGAAAAUCAAAUACUAUGGUGAGAUAUGUUUAC